rnacentral:rRNA from 1 species
UCAAGUUAUUAAGGGUGCAGGGCGAAUGCCUUGGCACUAGGAGCCGAUGAAGGACGUGAUAAGCUGCGAUAAGCUUCGGGGAGUUGCACGUAAACUUUGAUCCGAAGAUUUCCGAAUGAGGAAACUCACUUAGAGUAAUGUCUAAGUAUCGUAUGAUGAAUACAUAGUCAUGCGAGGGGAACCCGGAGAACUGAAACAUCUAAGUACCCGGAGGAAGAGAAAGAAAUUCGAUUCCGUAAGUAGCGGCGAGCGAACGCGGAACAGGCCAAACCAGUGAAGUUUUCUUCGCUGGGGUUGCGGACAUAUCAUAACGAAGAGGUAUCGUAGAAGAAGAGAGUUGGAAAGCUCCGCCACAGAUGGUAACAGCCCAGUAUUUUAAACGAGAAGACUUUAGAUAUGAUCCAGAGUACCACGGGACACGUGAAACCCUGUGGGAAGCAGGAGGGACCAUCCUCCAAGCCUAAAUACUACCUAGUGACCGAUAGCGUAUAGUACCGUGAGGGAAAGGUGAAAAGAACCCCGGGAGGGGAGUGAAAGAGAACCUGAAACCCUGCACUUACAAGCUGUAGGAGCACAUUAUUUGUGUGACUGCGUACUUUUUGUAGAACGGGCCAACGAGUUACGUUGUGUAGCAAGGUUAAGCACUUAAGGUGUGGAGCCGUAGCGAAAGCGAGUCUUAAAUGGGCGUCCAGUUACCCGACGUAGACCCGAAACCAGGCGACCUAUCCAUGAGCAGGUUGAAGCGAAAGUAAAAUUUCGUGGAGGACCGAACCCACGUACGUUGAAAAGUGCGGGGAUGACUUGUGGAUAGCGGUGAAAUUCCAAUCGAGCCUGGAGAUAGCUGGUUCUCCCCGAAAUAGCUUUAGGGCUAGCCUCAAGCUUAGAGAAACGGAGGUAGAGCACUGAAUGUCCUAGGGGGUAUUGCACUUACCGAAGACUAUCAAACUCCGAAUGCCGUAUUCUUUUGCUUGGGAGUCAGACUAUGGGUGAUAAGAUUCAUAGUCAAGAGGGCAACAGCCCAGAUCGUCAGCUAAGGUCCCUAAAUGUAAGUUAAGUGGUAAAGGAUGUGGAAUUGCACAGACAACCAGGAUGUUGGCUUAGAAGCAGCCACUCAUUUAAAGAGUGCGUAAUAGCUCACUGGUCGAGUGAUUCUGCGCCGAAAAUUUCCGGGGCUAAAACUUACUACCGAAGCUACGGCAUCAUUAUGAUGGGUAGGGGAGCUUUCUAUGCGGCUUGAAGCAUGACCGUAAGGACAUGUGGACUGCAUAGAAGUGAGAAUGUUGGCAUGAGUAGCGAGAUGUGGGUGAGAAUCCCACAGGCCGUAAACCCAAGGUUUCCAGGGGAAGGUUCGUCCGCCCUGGGUUAGUCAGGACCUAAGCCGAGGCCGAAAGGCGUAGGUGAUGGACAACAGGUUGAUAUUCCUGUACCACCAAUAACCGUUUGAGAAAUGGGAUGACACAGUAGGAUAAGCUAACCGCACUGUUGGUUAUGUGCGGGCAAGUAUUGAGGCAGUUCCGAUAGGCAAAUCCGUCGGAAUAAUGCUGGGGUACGAUGCGGAGCGAAAUUUAGUAGCGAAGUAGCUGAUUUCACACUGUCGAGAAAAGUCUCUAUCGAGGUUAAAGGUGCCUGUACCGCAAACCGACACAGGUGGGUGAGGAGAGUAUCCUAAGGCCAGCGAGAGAACUGUUGUUAAGGAACUCGGCAAAAUGACCCCGUAACUUAGGGAGAAGGGGUGCCUUCGAAAGAAGGCCGCAGAGAAUAGGCCCAAGCGACUGUUUACCAAAAACAUAGGUUUCUGCUAAGUCGCAAGACGAUGUAUAGGAGCUGACGCCUGCCCGGUGCUGGAAGGUUAAGGGGAUCUGUUAGAGCAAUCGAAGCAGUGAACUUAAGCCCCAGUAAACGGCGGCCGUAACUAUAACGGUCCUAAGGUAGCGAAAUUCCUUGUCGGGUAAGUUCCG